UAGGGAAUCUUCGGCAAUGGACGAAAGUCUGACCGAGCAACGCCGCGUGAGCGAAGAAGGCCUUCGGGUCGUAAAGCUCUGUUGUUAGAGAAGAACAUGGGUGAGAGUAACUGUUCACCCCUUGACGGUAUCUAACCAGAAAGCCACGGCUAACUACGUGCCAGCAGCCGCGGUAAUACGUAGGUGGCAAGCGUUGUCCGGAAUUAUUGGGCGUAAAGCGCGCGCAGGCGGUCUCUUAAGUCUGAUGUGAAAGCCCCCGGCUCAACCGGGGAGGGUCAUUGGAAACUGGGAGACUUGAGGACAGAAGAGGAGAGUGGAAUUCCAAGUGUAGCGGUGAAAUGCGUAGAUAUUUGGAGGAACACCAGUGGCGAAGGCGGCUCUCUGGUCUGUUACUGACGCU
rnacentral:rRNA from 1 species